CCACCGGAGGCCCAGGACGGCUUUGAAAGUGGCCAAACACAAAUUCAUAAGCUUUCUUAAAAUAUUACGAGACUUUUUUGUGACUUUUUUUUUUUUUAGCCAAUCUGCAAUCGUUAGUGUUAGUGUAUUUUAUGUAUUCUGCAAAUGUGGAAGCCAAGACUGGACACCCCUGGUUUAGCGUGAACUUUCAAGCCCCAAAAGAGUCCUCUCAGGACUGAUGUGUUUAAAUGUAGCAUGAGGACGUGCCUGCUUCCCCUUCACCUUCUGCCAUGACUACAAAGUCUCACUCUGUCAUUCAGGCUGGAAUGCAAUGGUGUUAUAGUGACUCACUGCAGUCUCAACCUCCUGGGCUCAAGUGAUCCUCCUGCCUCAGCCUCCCAUGUAGCUGGGACCACAAGUAUGUACCAACACACCCUGCUAAUCUUUUGAUUUUUUUGUGGAGAUGGGGUCUUACUCUGUUGCCCAAGCUGGUCUUGAACUCCUGGUCUCAAGUGAUUCCCCAGCCUCAGCCUCCUGAAGUGCUGGGAUUAUAGAUGUGAGCCAUCAUGACUAGCCCACACUGUAUGUAUUAAUUUUAUCAAUCAAAAUGUAUUAAGAAUCUGUUUAAUGCAGAUACCAUGCUAGGGUGUUGGGGACAUGAACAAGACAUGGUCCCCAACUUCAAAGUUCUAAAUUGUCUGGUGGGUGUGAG
rnacentral:lncRNA from 13 species